GCUGGGCAUGGUGGUGCACGCCUGUAAUCCCAGCUACUCGGGAGGCUGAGGCAGAAGAAUCACUUGAACUUGGGAGGCGGAGUUUGCAGUGAGCCGAGAUCGCACCACUGCACUCCAGCCUGGGUGACAGAGUGAGACUCUGUCUCAA
rnacentral:SRP_RNA from 1 species